UAAAUCAAAUUCGAUUUAAUUUUUUUAUUAUUAAGGAAAUUAUCGUGUCGGACUGUACUAAAUCCAGGACGUACACUUAAAUGACAUAAACGAUCUGUCAAAUUUCUAGAAACUAACCAAGAUUUUUCAUAAAAUAAUAAAAUGAUUGAAAUAACCUGCAACGAUCGAUUGGGUAAAAAAGUGCGGGUUAAAUGUAACCCAGAUGAUACCAUAGCGGAUCUAAAAAAGCUAAUUGCUGCUCAAACGGGGACUAAAUGGGAUAAAAUCGUUCUUAAAAAGUGGUAUAAACCAUUCAAGGAUCACAUACAAUUACAAGAUUAUGAAAUUCACGAUGGGAUGAAUCUGGAGUUAUAUUAUCAAUAAUUUAAGGUUUUAAUUUGAUUAAUCUGUUAAAAUAAAAAACUAGUUAAGAUUUAUUAUAACUUUAUUUAUAAGAGCAUCAUCAUCACACUUUCAAGAAUAAAUAAAAAGAAUUUAAAUAUAAAUUAAAAAAAAUAACAGUCCGAUAAUAUAAUAAGAUCUAUUAAUUCCGUUUUGGUGUCCGUGCAAGAUAUCCCAGAUGUGGUGCACAAUUAGGUCUAUAGCCACUGCAACAAUAAAUUAAUACAUUACAUGUACCGUGCGUACUUUAUAAUUAAACAAAUAAUUAAUUUUAGAAAUCAAAAGUAGAUAAGAAUUGUAUUUACAAGGAUUACGGAAAAGCAAACGAGUAAUAGCAAAUUAAAUCAAAAAAAAUAAGUCUAUUUAUUUUUUAUUUGUUUUUCAAAGAAACUUAAUAAAUAAAAUAUACAAGUAAUGCAUUUUGCAGUGACUAAAGAUGUACUUUUAAUGUUCAAUGUAAUUUAUAAUAAGCUGGAUGCUUACUAAAUAAUAAUUAAAUAAAAAGGAAAGGUUA